rnacentral:rRNA from 1 species
UAGGGAAUAUUGCACAAUGGGCGGAAGCCUGAUGCAGCAACGCCGCGUGCGGGAUGACGGCCUUCGGGUUGUAAACCGCUUUCGCCUGUGACGAAGCGUGAGUGACGGUAAUGGGUAAAGAAGCACCGGCUAACUACGUGCCAGCAGCCGCGGUGAUACGUAGGGUGCGAGCGUUGUCCGGAUUUAUUGGGCGUAAAGGGCUCGUAGGUGGUUGAUCGCGUCGGAAGUGUAAUCUUGGGGCUUAACCCUGAGCGUGCUUUCGAUACGGGUUGACUUGAGGAAGGUAGGGGAGAAUGGAAUUCCUGGUGGAGCGGUGGAAUGCGCAGAUAUCAGGAGGAACACCAGUGGCGAAGGCGGUUCUCUGGGCCUUUCCUGACGCUGAGGAGCGAAAGCGUGGGGAGCGAACAGGCUUAGAUACCCUGGUAGUCCACGCUGUAAACGGUGGGUACUAGGUGUGGGGGUCCAUUCCACGGGUUCCGUGCCGUAGCUAACGCUUAAGUACCCCGCCUGGGGAGUACGGCCGCAAGGCUAAAACUCAAAGGAAUUGACGGGGUCAUAGCUGUUUCCU